UACAGAGGUCUCAAGCGUUGUUCGGAUUCAUUGGGCGUAAAGGGUGCGUAGGCGGCGCGGUAAGUCGGGUGUGAAAUCUCGGAGCUUAACUCCGAAACUGCAUUCGAUACUGGCGUGCUUGAGGACUGGAGAGGAGACUGGAAUUCAUGGUGUAGCAGUGAAAUGCGUAGAUAUCGAGAGGAACACCUGCGGCGAAGGCGGCUCACUGGACCGGUAUUGACGCUGAUGUGCGAAAGCGUGGGGAGCAAACAGG
rnacentral:rRNA from 1 species